UUUUCUCUUGUGGUGAAGCCUGUGUUCCCCAGUAAGCUGCUUUCUCUUCAUGUUUUCUACCAUCUCUGUGAAAUGGGUUUAAAGCCUCUAUGAGCUAGCUACGUUGGCAGUGCCUUCUCAGUACAGUAAAACCCUCAUGGUGCGACUUCACUGUGAAGCAGUUUGGCAGUGACUCAAGUUCAGAAGCUGGCAGACUAUUGAGAGAGUCAGAAGAACACUUUUCAUCAGAGCAUAAAGAUAAUUACAUCAUAAAAGAAAAAGGAACUCCAAAUACAAACGCUUCUGCUUGAAUGUUUCUUGUCACCAGCAUCUUCCUUGAAGAGCCUGUCAUUUCAUUUAUUCAGUUUCCAAAUGGAUGUGUCUGUCUCUCCCCAGGCAGCAGAGAGAAUUUGGAGUGAAAUUCACUUUUACAUGAAGAUGUACCCAUUACUUAUGAUAACUAUUCAGGACCAAGUGCAAGAAAUGCAGUAUCUCAGAGCUGAGAGCAAGGAUACAGUAGAGAAUUAUACUGUCCAGUAAACACUUCUCAAAAGCCUACAGGAAAUACUAAACACAUAGUUAAUGUACAUAAUAGUAUAUGUAUGUACACUUUGCUCAGCUGAGUUUUGAAAAUCUACAGAGAUGGACAUUGUUAGUCUCUAUGGGCAACUUGUUUCAUUCCUUAACCAAAACUUUUUUCUUAUGUUGACCUGGAGUUUUCCUUGCUGAAAAAUUCUCUCAUUCUUCCUCUUUCUACCACCAAAAAGACUAGCACUCUUCCAGCAGUAGGUUACUACAGCUGGAUCCCUUUUAAGCUUCUUUGAGGUGAAAUCACUAUUAUGUAAAGAUUUAGUUCUAUACUUAUUUUGUCUAUUUAAUUCCUCAUUUCUAUGAAUUUAUAAAAUGUUGCUUAACUAGCUUCACAAAUCAUGAAUAAAGAAAUAGGAUUUCUGUC